GCCAAGGGGUCAGUUAUGGGGUCACGGGGUCAGUGGCAGGGUCUGGGGUCACAGGAUCUGGAGCUGAGGGGUCAGUGGCAGGGUCUGGGGUCAUGGUAUUAGAUGUGGGGUCACAGAGACCGGGGCUGAGAGCUCAGUGGCAGGGCGUGGGGUCACAGGGUCUAGGGCCAAGGGGUCAGUUAUGGGACCAAGGGGUCAGUGGCAGGGCAUGGGGUCACAGGAUCUAGGGCCAAGAGGUCAGUUAUGGGGUCACAGGGUCAGUGGCAGGGUCUGGAGUCACAGUAUUAGGUGUGGUGUCACAAAGACUGGGGCUGAGAGGUCAGUGGCAGGGUCUGAGGUCACAGGGUUUGGGUCCAAGGGGUCAGUGGCAGGACGAGGGGUCAGUUAUGGAUUCACAGGGUCAGUGGCAGGGUCUGAGGUCACGGUCUGGGGCCAAGGGGUCAGUGGCAGGACGAGGAGUCACAGGGUCCAGGGCCAAGGGGUCAGUUAUGGGGUCACGGGGUCAGUGGCAGGGUCUGGGGUCACAAGGACUGGGGCUAAGAGGUCAGUGGCAGGGCAUGGGGUUACAGGGUCUAGGGCCAAGGGGUCAAUUAUGGGGUCACGGGGUCAAUCGCAGGGUCUGAGGUCACAGGAUCUGGGGCCAAGGGGUCAGUUAUGGGGUCACGGGGUCAGUGGCAGGGUCUGAGGUCACAGGAUCUGGGGCCAAGGGGUCAGUUAUGGGGUCACGGGGUCAGUGGCAGAGUCUGAGACCGCAGGAUCUGGGGCCAAGGGGUCAGUGGCAGGGCCGGGGGCCCCCUCCCUGCCUGCUCUACUGCCCUGCCCUGCCCGCCCCGUCCCCGGGCUAGCACAAGGGCCGCCUGCGCCAGCGUUGGCCCCCGUGCUGCAUGGUGAUCACCCGGGUAGCAGGAGGCCCAGCUGUGCCCUGACUAGCGUGAGCAAUUUAAUCCAGCGUGGUGACUUGCGCGCUCCUCCAUCUGCUGUGCCCACGUGUAAUAUUUUCCGGGAGAGACCAAUCCCAUCCUGUCAGGCUCCCUCUGUGCCAGCCGCUCUUCGUCAUGGAGCUGACUGCGGUCCAGCUCGGGAGGGAGGGGUGGAGCCGCGAUCUCACGAUGCUGCAGCAAAGCAGAGUUGGGUACCAGCCACGUCGUGCUGGCGCAUCGGCCCCGCUGGCUCAGAGACACAUGGAGGAGAAGCCAGAGCCAUGUCCACGUUCCCACAGUGGUAGCCGGGACUGGUGCGGCGGCACCGAGGGUCCCUUCGGGGUCUGCAGGGCGGCGGGAGAGCUGCGGGGGUGCCACGGGUCCGCGCGCAGGAGGGGAGAGGCGCGCGUGCACACAACGUCCUGGGGAGGUGGAGCUGCCUCGUGCGUGCCGAGCUGAGGGGCUGGCGCUGCGUGCCGCGUGGGCCUCGCUGUGCAGCUGAUGUUUCCCAUUGGCGCGGACAUCGCAGGCCGUGGGGGGCAUGUUCAGAUGUGCGUAGUCCCCCUCCCCCAUUCCUGGGACCCCCUGGGGCUGUGCGCGACACUCGAAGCUCGUGAGGAAUGCACAGCUCCCCCCAACUAACAGAAAACACAGCCCGGCCGCCAGGCCUCAGCCUCUCCCACCCCCCCCCCCACCCCCGGGCAGGGGGGCUGUAAUGAAAAGCACUUGCUGCACAGCUAUCUAUAGCGCUUUGUUUGUGCGAACGGGGAAGGGGCAGGCGUGGCCCUGCCUGACCUCACCCUUGACGUCAAAGGACCCCAAAUGAGUAAUAGGGAGAGCUCCACGGCCCGCGGCCAGGCGCGUCCCUGCCAUGCAGGUGCUGGAGUGACGGGCAGAGCGGGAAGGGCCGGGUCCAGGGGUGGGGAGGGUGCGACUGCACCCACGGGACCCAAAUGGGAGCAUGGAAGUAGACUGAGCCCGAGGAGCAUUGCCAGAGGAGCUCCGCCGUGGCCAGGGGCUGUGCUUGGCAGUGGGAAUCCAGCACUCCCAGGCAGCAGUGGCCUCCCAUCCCUUCCACGGGGCUGUGCUUGGGAGCAGCCUCGCCCGGACCAGAGCAGCUGUGUGUUCGCCCAGCACACAAGCACUGUCUCUGGGGGGGCUUUCGUGUGCUGGGUUUCCACCCUCCAGUCUGCCUGUGGCUCUCUUGCCCCUGCGGUGUGGGAGGUGGCAGGUUUGUUCCCGUGUCCACACCAGGCGCUCUGGCAGAACGUGGCAGGGGCAGUGCCACAACUGACAGGCAUGGUUAAUCUCCAGCACGGUUCUUGGGGUAGAAGACAGACCUGACACUUGUGUUUGUGCUUCAGUAGCACGGAAAAGGUCCUCUGAGGGAUCUGCUUGCAGCCAAGGCAAGGAUGGGACCUGCCCCAUAACUCCCAAUUAGAGCCGAUGCAAGAGAGAAAGAAAAAGGACUGCGUGACUGCUGCGAUGAGCCACAGUUACAGCAGCCAACGACCUAGUCAUUGUCGACUGUCUUGUGUGCGUCGUGACUAAGUGUUUCUGAGAUGCUGGGAGGAUAAUAUGGCUUUGUGGCUGUGCUGGGAGCUCCCUCCGUGCGUGAGGGUGACAUGGUAGAAAGCUCAGGGGGAAAUUUGAUAAGCGAGCCAUCAAGGCAGCAUUGUUGGCAGGGCAGAGGCAGGGACUCAUGGCUCAGUGCCACGCGCAAAGCUAGGAAGUGCAAGGAGCAGUUGUGGGGAAUUCAAAGCCAAAUGGUGGGCUUGUGCAUUUUGGGGAGUGGCUCUAUAGGCUUUUUGUAUUUUGGGGAAUGCACCCUAGGCAGCAGAGAGGCCAAGCUGGGACCAGGAUGUGGGCAGAAGUCAUCCAAGGGGUCCACAAAGCCACUGCGAUCUUGCCCUCUUGCAGCGUGCGUUCUGCGACACUGCACAGUCUUGCAUCCGAUCACACAGGCCUGGAGCUGCCUGGCUUGUUUUUUCUGUUUGAUAUCCUCUAGCCACAGCGUGCCAACCCGAACCGACAGCGGGACUGGAGAUUGGUGCUGCCAGAGUUCCUGUCUCGCAUGUCAGGUCUUCCAGUAAUCCAGACUCCCUGAUUUUGUCCCAGGAAACAAGCACAGAGCCAUACCCUGCGCCGGUGCAGCUUGCUCCACCCUCCCUGGGACCUCCUGAGCACAUCGGGGCACCUCGUUUCUUGCUCCCCAGUAACGUGGCCCGAUCCAUAUUGAAUAAAAGCUUCAAGCGUGACCUUGGAUCAUCAUAGACCCGUGAUUCUCCAGCAGGUGCUGCAGCACCCUGAGGUGCCGUGAGCGUGGUCGGAAGCUGUCACGGAUGCUGCAUAGCGUUGGCACUGUGAGGUGUGCAAACACCUACGUGUGUUCACAAGAUAAGGGAAUUUCAAACAGGAAUCCAAAGCGUCACAAGCGUUCUGACCGCUGCGGCUUUCCGAAGUUCUUCGCAGCAUAAGGAUUGCUCCCGUGUUUUUCCCGCAGUCGAAAAUCAAAUGAAAGCCGAGAGCUGGCAAUUUUCCGAGAGGACCUUGAGUUUAGAAACAUUGAGAGCCACUGAUUUAGGACAUCUCUCUCGCCAACCCACUCCCUUGCUGUUCUGAGGUCCUUGCCUUGAAACCCACAAGGGUGGCUCCAAAAAUAGGAAAAGCGUGAGAUUGCGGAGGCAGCUUUGAAGAGCCUGUUUCAACCUUGCAGUGGGACAGCACUGGAGGUGAAGAUGAUGAACUGCCUACGCACUCCUGCUGCGAAUGACGGUCCAGCCUCCAGCACUCUCACGCCUCUUGCUCACACGUUCAGAUCAUCACUCUCAGCAUUUCUUCAGAUAUUUCUGGACCUUUUCUCAAGCAAAAAGCUAAGGUUCAUUUGAUUUGCCCUGGUCAGGUAAAGAUAACUGAGACAAAAAGGUUGUUUUUGAUUCCAUGAAUAGUACACUUGCUUGAGUUAAAUAUUAAGAGUUUGCAGAAGAAGUUGUCCAAAGUGUAUGCAGAUCAGACCUAUUUCCCCUAUUUCAUCAGUGUACUCAUACAUGCUGUGCCAAUGGCAUUCAUGAAAACAAUAGCCAAAUACAUCAAUAAUUAAAAAGAUCAGAA